UGAUUUUGCUAAGAUCUCAUUUUAUGGUUUUGUUCUUGAUUCGAGUGACUUGGUUUCUUUUGUUGAUAAACGUAUUGUUAGUUGAAAUGCAAUUUACUCGCACCUGUUCCAUAUUUCACUAUUUCAGUGCUUCAGUGUCAAUGAUCUUUAUCAACAAAGCUGUGAUUAUGCAAUGUCCACACUCGAUGACUUUUCUAACACUUCGGGUACUGAAGAUUUUUAACAACAAAAGUGGCUAAUUCAUCGCUUAUACAUUGUGGGAGACAAAAUGGGACACAGCAGAGCCAACGUAAUCGUUUUGGCCACUUAAAAAAAGCUUUUGUGCGUUUCCAUCAUCUAUAAUGCUAAUGUUGUAUUUGUUCUUGCAAGGUUGAGAUGAUUCAAUAUUUUUUUAUAUAUCACCAUCUAAAAGACUUACUCCUCAUAUUGUUAUAUUGUUUUGAUAGCCGGUUAUAGCUAAUAUCAAAAUUUGAUAGCCGGAUAAAUUUUUUUUUACAUAGAUACAUCUACAUACUCGCAAAUUCUCAGGGCCAAUCCUGAAUAUCUAUAUAAUAACAUUUUAACCAAUAACACUUCUAUGAUAUUGUAUUGAUAUCCAAGAACACUUCUCAAUAACUCCACAACAUAUAUGAUAGAGGAUAUAUAGAAAAUUUGUCGUAUAAAUAUCCAGUAUUCUUCUUGGUAUCUAUUUAAGUAUUUGGUAGAAUAUAGGCGAAAUCUUUUCAAUUUAAAACUAAAGAGAAAUCUGGUUUAACUAUUUAACAAAUAUUCUUGCAGUAAUAACACCAUAUAAUCAAUUUUAUAAAAACUAUUUAAAACAGAAUACUAAAUCUCAGAUCAAACAUAUUGCCGAAUCAACAUUAUUUAGAAUCUCUUUAGUGUGGCGAUACUUUUAGCAUUAAUACUAUUUACACAAUAUCUUAACAAACAAUAAGUAAAAAAUAUAUAUAUACACAAUAUCUUAACAAACAAUAAGUAAACAAAAUAUAUUUCAAAACAUUUGCAAUCAGCCAGCUUUAAUUUAAUGACCGUAUAGUAUUAACUGAAUUACAAUACAAAACGGUUACAUAUUUUUAGACAAACAAAAGAUUUCGUUAAAUUAAAAAAAAAAUCAAAAAUUUAAGUCUUCAUAUUUUUGGGUUGGCGGAAAAAACACUAAUUUUAAAAUUUAUAAUAUAUAAGUUAUUUCAAAUUCAACAAUUAAUCUCACUUUCAGAAAAUACAUGGUAUUAUUAUAACAAAUAUGAUAAUAAAUAAGUCAAUAUUUAUAUACCUUUGUAAUACGGACACUGAAAAAAUUAAAUAUAUAAAGUAUGUACACAUUUUAAUUUUAAUUAAUUUUUUUGUCAAACAAAAAUUAAUUCCAUAAUGGGAAAUGGGUGUCAAAAUCAAUAUUAUUAAGAUAGAAUAAAAAAAUUGGAUCCAACUUGUGUUUAAAAUUGACUACAACCUUAUACUAUUUAAAAUAACUAGGUAAAUUUUGUUCUGAAAUUUCGAAAAGUCAUUUUAAACUAUUUUAAUUUUUUUACUUUGAAUUUUAAAUAUAUAUAUAUAUUCAUUAAAAUCUUAAACUCCAUCUCACUCUAAAACUUCAUCGCUCAAGUCUAACAGUAAGUGUAGAUUAAUUAACCCUAAGAAUAUAAGUAUUUGUUUAUACCUAAUCCUCGAUUAUACCAUAUUCAUUAGAAGCAACAAACAAACAUAUUAACUUUUGGGAUAUGAUCAAUACAUAGAAUUAAUAUAUAAAUCAUAUAUCUUUUUGUUAAAAUUUAAUAAAUGAUAUUAUAAGAAAAUAAAAAAAUAAAAUAUGUUCAAAUCAACUUUUUUUAAACCCGACAUAUACAUCAAACACCAUUUUUGGUCAUUGGGUUAUUGUGCUGAUCGCGGGUGAGCCAUUGGUCAAUAAUUUAUUUCAUUUUAUAUAAAUACACAUAUCAAUAUUAAACUACAAAAAUCAUGUUUAAAAAAUAAAUAAAAAAAUUAAAUCAAUUUUAUUUAUAUUGCUAAAAUAUAAAUAGAACAUUUAAACAAUUUUUUAACAAGUUGGAGUUACGACAUAAUAAAAAUACAAUAAGAUUAAAAUUAAUAAGUAUUUAAAUAUCUAUGCAAAUAUUGAAAUUAAUUUUUAAAAUUUUAAAAUAACAGUUUAAAUCAAAUACCAUAAGAAAAUUCAAAUUGGAUUACACAUCAGUCACCUAUUGGUUCAACUGGUUGGCUUCGGGUGCCAGCAUUUUUUUUAGUUUUAUAGGGUUAUAAAAUAAUGAAUGUUUAUUAAAACCAAAAUUGGUUAGAUAUGGAUUUACUGGUUCACAUUUGGGUCUAGAUCCGGUUUAAAAGGGUUGAUUUUAAAUAGAAUUUUUUUACAAAUCUAAAAAACAUUUAUAAUGUUGUUAAUGAAAUUUUUCAUCGUUAUAUAUCCCGCGCUUCCAAAGCGCGGGUCAAAAUCUAGUUUAUAAAAUUAUGAUAAAAUGGUUUGGUUUGGGCUUAAAAUUAACGAGUGUGGAAUUCAUACUCGUUCCUUGAAAACCAGUCGUCCAAUUUUUCCUUUUAAAUUCUAUUUAUGAUUUUAUGUCCAUAAAAAUCAUUUACUUUAAACAAACCAUUGAUUUUCUUAUUUCUCUUAUCCCUUUCAACUAUCGAACAAUAACUAAUUAAUUAUUUCUCUUAUAUAUUAAAAGAAAAAGAAGAUUACUUUUCUCUGCUAAAGUAGGUCAUCAUGUGGGUCUUAUGUAUUGGAAUAGUGUAUUGAGUUAGAGAGUCGAAAUCUAUAUUCUCAUGGGAUUUAUGUAUUCAAACUCACACCAUCUUUGUCUAAUAUCAUAUCGGAUUCAACAUUAGAAUGUUUUCAAAUUUGACAUGUAAUAUAUACAUACAUAAUGCAUGAUUUACGAAAAUAUUUUGGUAUUCAUGAAUUCCUAACAUAUAUGAUCAUAACAUAACAAGCCCUAAUUCACAAGUCCUAAAUCCGAAAUAUAUUUAUUUUAAUUUAGUUUCCCCUCAUAUUACAUGAAAUCCAACCAUACAACUAAUUUUACGGAUAAGUAACGAAUUAAAGCCGGCGUGAUUUUAAAAUUAAAAUAAAGGACAUGAAAUUAAAAGUAUUAUUUUACCGAUUUCUUUUACAGCUAUUCAGAAUACAGUUUCAGCUAUUGUAUUUUUUUUUCAAAUCAUUAACAAACAAAUAAUAAACGGUAAAAUAAAAUAUCGUGAACAUUGAUAUACUAAACACAAAACUAGGAGCCUAUCGUUAUAUACCAAAUCUUCCACAAAUCAAUUUUUGCAUUAAAUUUAAACAAAAGAUCUCAGAGUUUCUAACUAACUGUCGAAUAUGCUGAUUCACAAGAUCUAUAUUUCCAUAACUUGAUACUCGAGAUAUGUAUUUAUCACAAAAUAUAUUCUCUAACUGUUUAAAAUGGGAAUAUGCUAUUAUAUCUGCCUUCGCGAAUCUUAUAUAUACUAUAUCUAAAGCUCAAAGCAAUCAAGUUUUUUUUCUGCGAAUAAUACUAACAUGUCUUCUAAAAAUAAGUGUUCGUACCUUGAUGAGCUUAGGCCAUGGAAAUGGACAUGGUUGAUCCAAGUGAAAGUGCUAUAUACCUGGAAACCAUCAAUUUCCGGGUUUAUUGUCGGGUUUGGUAAGAGUUUGGAAUCAUAUUGUAGAUAAAAAGGUAUAUAUAGUAUUCAUCAUCCUUAAAGAGUAUUUUGUUGUUAUUGUAUCGCAAUUAGAAAUCAAAGAAACUAAAACGUGAUUUUGAAUAUAUCGUUUUAUUUUUCUCGAUUUGGUAAAUGUUUUUUAUAAUGAGAUAUUGAAUUAAAGUCUACGUUAUUUUCUAUAUUAUCUUGCAGGGCUUGAUCCAAGCUACCUGUUAGAAGAAAUUACAUGAAGUCUUUGGGGGGAAGAAUGCAGUGUAAGGUGAGUGGAAAACUGUUAAGACUUCCAAGUGAGUCAUGCUGAAAAACAUUACCGACCAACAAAAAACAUGCACAAGAUUACUUUCAUCAAUCAGACAGUCAUCAAGUCAUCUGACUUCCAAAACGAUGACAUGUUACUUUCACCCAUAGAAGCGGUAUGGACCAAAAACGUUAUUUUCACCCAUAGAUUCUAUUUAUAUCAUAUAUUGAGGUUCUUUUAAACGGAAACACAACAAUGCAUAAGUUAAAUCUUUUAGACAUUAUACUACUCAUGUAAAAUGUUGUAAAAUUAAUAAUUUUUUUGCUACUGAAUUUGUUUGUU